rnacentral:rRNA from 1 species
AUUGAACGCUGGCGGCAUGCCUUACACAUGCAAGUCGAACGGUAACAGGUCUUCGGAUGCCGACGAGUGGCGAACGGGUGAGUAAUACAUCGGAACGUGCCUAGUAGUGGGGGAUAACUACUCGAAAGAGUGGCUAAUACCGCAUGAGAUCUACGGAUGAAAGCAGGGGAUCGCAAGACCUUGUGCUACUAGAGCGGCCGAUGGCAGAUUAGGUAGUUGGUGGGAUAAAAGCUUACCAAGCCGACAAUCUGUAGCUGGUCUGAGAGGACGAUCAGCCACACUGGGACUGAGACACGGCCCAGACUCCUACGGGAGGCAGCAGUGGGGAAUUUUGGACAAUGGGCGCAAGCCUGAUCCAGCGAUGCCGCGUGCAGGAUGAAGGCCUUCGGGUUGUAAACUGCUUUUGUACGGAACGAAAAGCCCUGGGUUAAUACCCUGGGGUCAUGACGGUACCGUAAGGAUAAGCACCGGCUAACUACGUGCCAGCCGCCGCGGUAAUAC